rnacentral:rRNA from 1 species
ACGGGGUGCAGCAGGCGAGAAAAACCCUUAGCAAAAUGUGCGAAAGCACGACUGGGUCAGUCCGAGUGAUUCCUGAUAAAGGAGUCUUUUGCUUGUCCUAAAAGCACAGGUGAAUAAGGGGUGGGCAAGUCUGGUGUCAGCCGCCGCGGUAAUACCAGCACCCUCGAGUGGUCAGGACGUUUAUUGGGCCUAAAGCAUCCGUAGCCGGCUUUGCAAGUCUUCGGUUAAAUCCACCUGCUCAACAGAUGGGCUGCUGGAGAUACUACAAAGCUAGGGAGUGGGAGAGGCAGACGGUAUUCAGUGGGUAGGGGUAAAAUCCUCUGAUCCAUUGAGGACCACCAGUGGCGAAGGCGGUCUGCCAGAACACGUUCGACGGUGAGGGAUGAAAGCUGGGGGAGCAAACCGGAUUAGAUACCCGGGUAGUCCCAGCUGUAAACGAUGCAAACUCGGUGAUGCAUUGGCUUAUGGCCAAUGCAGUGCCGCAGGGAAGCCGUUAAGUUUGCCGCCUGGGAAGUACGGACGCAAGUCUGAAACUUAA